rnacentral:rRNA from 1 species
AUUGAACGCUAGCGGGAUGCUUUACACAUGCAAGUCGAACGGCAGCGCGGACUUCGGUCUGGCGGCGAGUGGCGAACGGGUGAGUAAUGUAUCGGAACGUGCCCAGUAGCGGGGGAUAACUACGCGAAAGCGUAGCUAAUACCGCAUACGCCCUACGGGGGAAAGCCGGGGAUCGUAAGACCUUGCACUAUUGGAGCGGCCGAUAUCGGAUUAGCUAGUUGGUGAGGUAACGGCUCACCAAGGCGACGAUCCGUAGCUGGUUUGAGAGGGCGACCAGCCACACUGGGACUGAGACACGGCCCAGACUCCUACGGGAGGCAGCAGUGGGGAAUUUUGGACAAUGGGGGCAACCCUGAUCCAGCCAUCCCGCGUGUGCGAUGAAGGCCUUCGGGUUGUAAAGCACUUUUGGCAGGAAAGAAACGUCGCGGGCUAAUACCCCGUGGAACUGACGGUACCUGCAGAAUAAGCACCGGCUAACUACGUG